GGGCGUUUGGCACAGUGGUAGCGCGCACGCUUUGCAUCUGUAGUAAGAGCUUGAGUUACAUGCGUGAGGUCGAGGGUUCAAACCCCCCAACGUCCA